rnacentral:rRNA from 1 species
GAUGAACGCUGGCGGCGUGCCUAAUACAUGCAAGUCGAGCGAACAGACGAGGAGCUUGCUCCUCUGACGUUAGCGGCGGACGGGUGAGUAACACGUGGAUAACCUACCUAUAAGACUGGGAUAACUUCGGGAAACCGGAGCUAAUACCGGAUAAUAUAUUGAACCGCAUGGUUCAAUAGUGAAAGACGGUUUUGCUGUCACUUAUAGAUGGAUCCGCGCCGCAUUAGCUAGUUGGUAAGGUAACGGCUUACCAAGGCAACGAUGCGUAGCCGACCUGAGAGGGUGAUCGGCCACACUGGAACUGAGACAGGGUCCAGACUCCUACGGGAGGCAGCAGUAGGGAAUCUUCCGCAAUGGGCGAAAGCCGGACGGAGCAACGCCGCGUGAGUGAUGAAGGUCUUCGGAUCGUAAAACUCUGUUAUUAGGGAAGAACAAAUGUGUAAGUAACUAUGCACGUCUUGACGGUACCUAAUCAGAAAGCCACGGCUAACUACGUG